AGAGUUUGAUCAUGGCUCAGAUUGAACGCUGGCGGCAGGCCUAACACAUGCAAGUCGAACGGUAACAGGAAGCAGCUUGCUGCUUUGCUGACGAGUGGCGGACGGGUGAGUAAUGUCUGGGAAACUGCCUGAUGGAGGGGGAUAACUACUGGAAACGGUGGCUAAUACCGCAUAACGUCGCAAGACCAAAGAGGGGGACCUUCGGGCCUCUUGCCAUCAGAUGUGCCCAGAUGGGAUUAGCUAGUUGGUGAGGUAACGGCUCACCAAGGCGACGAUCCCUAGCUGGUCUGAGAGGAUGACCAGCCACACUGGAACUGAGACACGGUCCAGACUCCUACGGGAGGCAGCAGUGGGGAAUAUUGCACAAUGGGCGCAAGCCUGAUGCAGCCAUGCCGCGUGUAUGAAGAAGGCCUUCGGGUUGUAAAGUACUUUCAGCGGGGAGGAAGGUGUUGUGGUUAAUAACCGCAGCAAUUGACGUUACCCGCAGAAGAAGCACCGGCUAACUCCGUGCCAGCAGCCGCGGUAAUACGGAGGGUGCAAGCGUUAAUCGGAAUUACUGGGCGUAAAGCGCACGCAGGCGGUCUGUCAAGUCGGAUGUGAAAUCCCCGGGCUCAACCUGGGAACUGCAUUCGAAACUGGCAGGCUUGAGUCUUGUAGAGGGGGGUAGAAUUCCAGGUGUAGCGGUGAAAUGCGUAGAGAUCUGGAGGAAUACCGGUGGCGAAGGCGGCCCCCUGGACAAAGACUGACGCUCAGGUGCGAAAGCGUGGGGAGCAAACAGGAUUAGAUACCCUGGUAGUCCACGCCGUAAACGAUGUCUACUUGGAGGUUGUGCCCUUGAGGCGUGGCUUCCGGAGCUAACGCGUUAAGUAGACCGCCUGGGGAGUACGGCCGCAAGGUUAAAACUCAAAUGAAUUGACGGGGGCCCGCACAAGCGGUGGAGCAUGUGGUUUAAUUCGAUGCAACGCGAAGAACCUUACCUGGUCUUGACAUCCACGGAAGUUUUCAGAGAUGGAAUGGUGCCUUCGGGAACCGUGAGACAGGUGCUGCAUGGCUGUCGUCAGCUCGUGUUGUGAAAUGUUGGGUUAAGUCCCGCAACGAGCGCAACCCUUAUCCUUUGUUGCCAGCGGUUAGGCCGGGAACUCAAAGGAGACUGCCAGUGAUAAACUGGAGGAAGGUGGGGAUGACGUCAAGUCAUCAUGGCCCUUACGACCAGGGCUACACACGUGCUACAAUGGCGCAUACAAAGAGAAGCGACCUCGCGAGAGCAAGCGGACCUCAUAAAGUGCGUCGUAGUCCGGAUUGGAGUCUGCAACUCGACUCCAUGAAGUCGGAAUCGCUAGUAAUCGUGGAUCAGAAUGCCACGGUGAAUACGUUCCCGGGCCUUGUACACACCGCCCGUCACACCAUGGGAGUGGGUUGCAAAAGAAGUAGGUAGCUUAACCUUCGGGAGGGCGCUUACCACUUUGUGAUUCAUGACUGGGGUGAAGUCGUAACAAGGUAACCGUAGGGGAACCUGCGGUUG
rnacentral:rRNA from 1 species